GGUCGGUGGUGUUGGACGGUGAGCGCUCGCGCCAGAAUCAGACAUCCCCGUCUUGACUUUGACCCAAACAGGACGCUGCUGGUGGUGCCGGUCUAGUUUUUAAGUGAUUAAAACCCUGCUGUGUUCGUGUUUACAAC